rnacentral:rRNA from 1 species
AACGAACGCUGGCGGCAGGCUUAACACAUGCAAGUCGAACGAGCUGGGACCUUCGGGUCCCGAUGCUAGUGGCGCACGGGUGAGUAACGCGUGGGAACGUACCCUUUAGUACGGAAUAACCCAGGGAAACUUGGGCUAAUACCGUAUGACCCCUUCGGGAGAAAGAUUUAUCGCUAAAGGAACGGCCCGCGUCUGAUUAGGUAGUUGGUGAGGUAACGGCUCACCAAGCCAACGAUCAGUAGCUGGUACUGAGAGGAUGAUCAGCCACACUGGGACUGGAACACGGCCCAGACUCUUACGGGAGGCAGCAGUGGGGAAUAUUGGACAAUGGGGGCAACCCUGAUCCAGCCAUGCCGCGUGAGUGAAGAAGGCCUUCGGGUUGUAAAGCUCUUUCGGCGGGGACGAUGAUGACGGUACCCGCAUAAGAAGCCCCGGCAAACUUCGUGCCAGCCGCCGCCGUAACAC